rnacentral:tRNA from 1 species
UAGCUCAGUCGGUAGAGCAUGAGACUCUUAAUCUCAGGGUCGUGGGUUCCGUUGGGCGGGUAUUUUCAUCCUCCCUU